GUGUGAUCCUCCUUUUCCCCAUCUCUGCUUUGAUUUCCCCUCCCUUCCCUAAGGGUUCUCUAUCAGAACCCUCAAGAACCCUUCUCAAGAUCGAAAUGCUCCACUACAGUUCUACAACUUGAUUGUAGAUCUUGAAGCCUUUGCAACUCGUUGAAGGAGACGCUUGAAGCGCGAUAGCAGGUUUGCAAGUUUGCAAGUUUGAAGGUUGGGUUUCCUCUUCCCUCUUUGCAAUAUUCUACAAGGUACGCCCCUGCGAUUCUGACGAACCCCUUCACUUCCCAAGAACCAUUGAACCCUAAUUUUUUUUUCCGUUCCUACUGUGUGCACGAAGCACCCUAGCCUGUCGGCUCUUAAACAUGUCUCUGUAGAUUUGGAUGAUCGAGGUUGCAUUCCAUCAUCUUGGGCUACAGAUUUGGAAGAUUGACCUUGCGAUUUGGUUAUUUGCUUGAAGAACGGCAAACCCAACAUGGACUAAAUAUAGAAGGCAUAGUUUUUCAUGAUGGCCAGAGUUGUUAGAGAUCUUCUCUGACUCAAGUGAUGUGGAGAUAGAGGUCUUUCGCAGUCCUCUGCUGCUACUUCAAGGACCACCAACUUGGGACUUGAUCAAGAUCACCUUGAGGAGACUAGUCAUGAGGAGACUGAUGUUGAUGAAGAGGUCAACCCAACUACACCAAAGACGAGACUUGACAAAACGUUUACAUAUCGUAGGAAGAAGAGCCAAUCAAGGUCCAUUACCAACUCUGCCAUGGAUUUUAGGAAAUUUGUGGCUUAGAGAAUGGAGAAGUGUGCAUCCACUACUAAUUCCACAACAGUCCGACCUGCUUAUCCUUUGAUGGAUGGACCACACAGUGUAAUCAGUUGCCAGAAAUUGUUGGACACUCUAGAAGAUAUUCUAGAAGAGUUGUAUGUGAUGGCUCAGCAAAAAAUACACAGUGAUGCUGCUUGGCAACUGUCAUUCGUGGAAGUGAUUCCGGAGAGGAGGAUGUGGAUGAUAAAGCACUUGAAGUAAUGCUUUUUAUAUGACUUUUAUUUUACGUGGCUUUCUGGACAAUGGGUUGAAGUUUUUUUUUUUUUUUUUGACUACUUGUUUAAUGUUUUUAUGUUUAAUGACUUUUUCAGUACUUGGUCUUUGUGCCAACUUUGCUCAUGGUUGUUUGAAUGAAUUUCCUUUUACUUU